rnacentral:rRNA from 1 species
AACGAACGCUGGCGGCAGGCCUAACACAUGCAAGUCGAGCGGACCUUUCGGGGUCAGCGGCGGACGGGUGAGUAACGCGUGGGAAUAUGCCCUUCUCUACGGAAUAGUCCUGGGAAACUGGGGGUAAUACCGUAUACGCCCUUUGGGGGAAAGAUUUAUCGGGGAAGGAUUAGCCCGCGUUGGAUUAGGUAGUUGGUGGGGUAAUGGCCUACCAAGCCGACGAUCCAUAGUUGGUUUGAGAGGAUGAUCAGCCACACUGGGACUGAGACACGGCCCAGACUCCUACGGGAGGCAGCAGUGGGGAAUCUUAGACAAUGGGGGCAACCCUGAUCUAGCCAUGCCGCGUGAGUGAUGAAGGCCUUAGGGUUGUAAAGCUCUUUCAGCUGGGAAGAUAAUGACGGUACCAGCAGAAGAAGCCCCGGCUAACUCCGUG